rnacentral:rRNA from 1 species
UUACUGCUAUCGGGGUCCGACUAAGCCAUGCGAGUUGAAUGUCAAGGCAUAGCGCACUGCUCGUAACACGUGGACAACCUGCCCUGAGGACUGGAAUAAUCCCGGGGAACUGGGAGUAAUUCCAGAUAUGCCAGGGAACCUCGGAAGUAGUUUCGUUGGCGAGAAAUAGGCUCCGGCGCCUCAGGAUGGGUCGCGGCCUAUCAGGGUAGUAGUGGUGUAACGUACCACUAGCCUACGACGGGUACGGGUUGUGAGAGCAAGAGCCCGGAGAGGAUUCUGAGCAUGAAUCCAGGCCCUACGGGGCGCAGCAGGCGCGAUG